CGCGUAGGCGGCGCUGGAAGUCAGGCGUGAAAGCCCCGGGCUCAACCUGGGAGGUGCGCUUGGGACUCUGGUGCUGGAGUUCGGGAGAGGAGCGUGGAAUUCCCAGUGUAGAGGUGAAAUUCGUAGAUAUUGGGAAGAACACCGGUGGCGAAGGCGGCGCUCUGGACCGAUACUGACGCUGAGGCGCGAAAGCGUGGGGAGCAAACAGGAUUAGAUACCCUGGUAGUCCACGCUGUAAACGAUGUGUGCGUAGACGUUGGGGAGCCUAGCUCUUCGGUGUCGCCGCAAACGCUUUAAGCACACCGCCUGGGGAUACGGCCGCAAGGUUAAA
rnacentral:rRNA from 1 species